UGGAUUUGUUUGAUUUUAUUACUCUUUAAGUUUGACAUAUGAAAAUACCAUACUUAAACAGUUCAUGUAGGGUACCUGAAACAAAGGCACUAAUACAGUACUAGAAAGGUGGUGACGGAUUUAAGAACAAUUGUGCCAAUUUCUAAUCUGUUUUAUAGUAAAGUUAUAGAAUUGGAGGAAGCUGCUCCUGUACAACUUUGGACGAGGGUAGGAGGAGCAGGGCGUCAGAAUGCCUUUCCAGGAACUUAGGAGUACGCCCAGUCGCUGCGUGGCUUCCCGCAUACUCAGCCCUGCGCCCGCGUUGGCGUGGCCUGGGCGCCCCCAACGUGACUCCGCCCAGGGCGCUCCGUUCUGCCAGCUGGAAACUACAGUUCCCAGAAGGCCACGCGAGCCCGGGAGGGACGCGGCGGCGGGGGCUGCAGGAAAGGCGCGAGCAGAGGCGGCGGCGGGUGUACCGUAGGUGGUCGGUCCGGCAGCAGCCCGGCCCCCGGACGCUGGACGUGGCCCCAGGCAGCCCUCGCAGCUCAGUCCUCUAGCCGGGGCAAGCCCGCGUCUCCGCCUGCUGGACGGGCCCAGGCGAGAUGUAGGGCUCUGGGCGCGGAGGCCGCCGGUGGGGCGGCUGAUCGCGGAGGAUCGCGGAGGGCGCGCCGAGGAUGGAGAGAGCGAUGGAGCAACUCAACCGCCUGACGCGCUCGCUGCGCCGCGCGCGCACCGUGGAGUUGCCCGAGGAUAAUGAAACUGCUGUUUAUACAUUAAUGCCAAUGGUUAUGGCUGAUCAACACAGGUCUGUUUCUGAACUACUAUCAAAUUCAAAAUUUGAUGUCAAUUAUGCGUUCGGACGUGUGAAAAGAAGCUUGCUUCACAUUGCAGCAAAUUGUGGAUCGGUGGAAUGCUUGGUUUUGCUGUUAAAGAAAGGAGCAAAUCCUAACUAUCAAGAUAUUUCAGGCUGUACACCCCUUCAUUUGGCAGCAAGAAAUGGGCAGAAGAAAUGUAUGAGUAAAUUAUUAGAAUAUAGCGCUGAUGUCAACAUUUGUAAUAAUGAAGGCCUUACAGCAAUACAUUGGCUGGCUGUGAAUGGGCGGACAGAACUACUCCAUGACCUUGUGCAGCAUGUCAGUGAUGUUGAUGUUGAGGAUGCCAUGGGGCAGACAGCACUGCAUGUUGCCUGCCAGAACGGUCACAAGACGACAGUGCAGUGCUUGCUAGACAGUGGUGCUGAUAUUAACAGGCCAAAUGUAUCAGGAGCAACUCCAUUGUACUUUGCUUGCAGUCAUGGUCAGAGAGAUACAGCACAGAUCCUACUAUUACGAGGAGCCAAAUAUCUGCCAGAUAAAAAUGGAGUAACUCCUCUGGAUUUAUGUGUACAGGGUGGAUAUGGAGAGACUUGUGAAGUAUUAAUUCAAUAUCACCCGAGGCUUUUUCAGACUAUUAUUCAAAUGACACAGAAUGAAGACCUCCGAGAAAACAUGUUACGGCAAGUUUUGGAGCAUUUGUCUCAGCAAAGUGAAAGCCAGUACCUAAAGAUUCUAACAAGCCUUGCUGAAGUUGCUACAACAAAUGGUCAUAAACUGCUUAGCCUCUCUAGCAAUUAUGAUGCUCAAAUGAAGAGCCUUUUAAGGAUUGUGAGAAUGUUUUGUCACGUCUUUCGAAUUGGUCCAUCCUCCCCCAGUAAUGGAAUUGAUAUGGGCUACAAUGGGAAUAAAACUCCAAGAAGCCAGGUGUUCAAGCCUCUGGAAUUGCUUUGGCACUCGUUAGAUGAAUGGCUAGUUUUGAUAGCCACAGAAUUGAUGAAAAACAAAAGAGACUCAACAGAGAUCACUUCUAUUUUACUGAAACAAAAAGGCCAAGAUCAAGAUGCUGCUUCCAUUCCUCCAUUUGAACCUCCAGGACCUGGGAGCUAUGAAAAUCUGUCCACUGGCACAAGGGAAUCUAAACCAGAUGCUCUUGCAGGGAGACAGGAAGCCAGUGCAGAUUGUCAGGAUGUUAUUUCUAUGACAGCUAACAGGCUAAGUGCUGUCAUUCAAGCUUUUUACAUGUGCUGUUCUUGUCAGAUGCCUCCGGGAAUGACUUCACCUCGUUUCAUUGAAUUUGUCUGCAAACAUGAUGAAGUUUUAAAAUGCUUUGUUAAUAGAAAUCCCAAAAUUAUAUUUGACCACUUUCACUUUCUCCUUGAAUGUCCUGAGUUGAUGUCAAGAUUCAUGCAUAUCAUAAAAGCACAGCCUUUUAAAGAUCGCUGUGAAUGGUUCUAUGAACAUUUGCAUUCAGGACAGCCAGAUUCAGACAUGGUGCACAGGCCAGUGAAUGAAAAUGAUAUCCUGCUGGUUCACAGAGAUUCUAUUUUUAGGAGUAGCUGUGAAGUUGUGUCAAAAGCAAAUUGUGCAAAGCUAAAGCAAGGGAUUGCUGUACGGUUCCAUGGAGAAGAAGGCAUGGGUCAAGGUGUUGUGCGUGAGUGGUUUGAUAUUCUGUCCAAUGAGAUAGUCAAUCCUGAUUAUGCAUUGUUUACCCAGUCAGCUGAUGGAACAACUUUUCAGCCUAAUAGCAACUCUUAUGUAAAUCCUGAUCACUUGAACUAUUUUCGGUUUGCUGGGCAGAUCUUGGGAUUAGCGUUGAACCACAGGCAGCUGGUCAAUAUUUACUUCACACGAUCCUUCUACAAGCACAUUCUUGGUAUUCCUGUAAAUUACCAAGAUGUGGCAUCCAUUGAUCCAGAAUAUGGGAAAAAUUUGCAAUGGAUUUUAGAUAAUGAUAUAAGUGAUCUGGGUCUAGAACUAACUUUUUCUGUUGAGACUGAUGUGUUUGGAGCAAUGGAAGAGGUGCCUUUGAAACCUGGGGGUGGGAGUAUUCUUGUGACACAAAAUAAUAAAGCGGAGUACGUCCAGCUUGUUACUGAACUUCGAAUGACAAGAGCCAUUCAGCCUCAGAUCAAUGCUUUUUUACAGGGCUUUCAUAUGUUCAUUCCACCCUCCCUCAUACAGCUUUUUGAUGAAUAUGAAUUGGAGCUACUGCUUUCUGGCAUGCCAGAAAUUGAUGUGAGUGAUUGGAUAAAAAAUACAGAAUACACAAGUGGCUAUGAAAGAGAAGAUCCAGUUAUUCAGUGGUUCUGGGAAGUUGUAGAAGACAUUACUCAAGAGGAGAGAGUUCUUCUCUUACAGUUUGUUACGGGCAGGAGUGGGGAUUCUUCCUCGCAGGAUGCCUGUAUUCAGUUAGGGAAAUGGUUGAAGACAAAAACUGAAGAAGCCACGGAGGACUGGUGAUUGCACUUAAGAAACAGCCUGAAACUAUCUGAGGCCUAAAGGAAGAUGCUGACAGAGUUACCAGUGGUUACAGACCCGGACUUCCUGUGAGGCGCCGCUGGUGGUCUGGCGCCCUCUGCUGGUGAAGUUGCCUGGCUUUCUCGUUGCUUGGUUUGCUCAGGAUUUUAUCUCCAUCUUGCUGGCGCAACAUCUUUCAGCAGAAUGUGCCAUUCUUAUACGAAGGUAAGAAGCCAUUCUGCUGGGCACCUUAUUUGAAGAAACACUCAAAGAGAAUCAAAGAAAGCAGGACUUGGCAUUUCUUCAACAGUAUACCCCUGUGUGUGAAUGCUCCCCUUUUCCUGCCAUCCGCCGAGGGGGCACUUUCAAGUACUCAGUUCCCAAUGUAGCCCUGGCCCCCCUCAGCUCUGGCACUCUUUAAAUUCCUUUGGCAAGAAAGUGAAUAUUCUUCUCCAGAACACACCAGGGGAGGCAGCCAAGAGGAAGAGAAGUCUGGGAGCCCUGGAAGAAGUUAGGCAGAAGCGCCUCAUCCUCAGGGAGCCAAGAUGGAGACGACCCAUGACUCGACCCUAGAAAGGCGGGUCAGCUUCUGCAGAGUGGUAGGGAGCACGGGCUCCUGGUGGAAAGAGGCAGGUCUUCAUGGACUGGGACCAAAUCCAACAGAUCAGCUGAGACGACAAGGCAGGCAAGUAGAAAUUGAGUGGAAGUGCUUAAGCCAGAGACAGAUGAGUGACUCAACUGGUUAAGAUUUGGUUAGUAAAAGGCUAGGGUUCUCACAUGCUCACUUGAAAUUUUUGUUUCAUAGUCUUCUGUGGGAAAAUAGAAAAUAAAUUGUGUGGCGGCCCUGCUGCUGUCAAAAGCAGUUGUCAAUUUGCAUCAGUUGUCAGUUUGCAUAGUUUCUAAUACACCGUCUAGAAGUUGUUAUUAAUAAUUAGGAUUUUCACUCUGAUGAGUCACGGAGCAAUUUAUAUAAAUUAAAACACACAACAUUAUCUGGAAAAAGCAUCAGAAGAAAGAUGGCAAAUUACUUAUAUCAGUGGUUCUUAAAGUGUGGUCCCUGGACCACCAUCAUCAUCAUCAUCUGGGAACACAUUAGAAAUGCAAAUUCUCAGGCCCCAUCCCAGACCCAUUGAAUCAGAAACUCUGGAGGUGGGCCCGGCAAUCUACAGUUUAACAAGCCCUCCAGGUGAUUCUGAUGCACACUCAAAUGUGAGCAGCACUGCCUUAGAUUAUAGUAUAAAUGAUGAAUACUAGAUCAUUUUCACUAAGGAAGGCCUAUAAAUGUGAUGGUUGGAGGGAAAGGAGGCAGGAAUAUGAGCCAACAAUUUGAAAGACACAUGUCUGCUAUGUACUGAAUAGUAAAGAUUGCUUGAAGUUUGACCGUGAGAUAAAUUGAGCUAAUAACAAUACCAUACAGCUUAAAGUUAAAUUGCCAUGAUCACAAAAGGACAAGGUGGAGAGUCUGAAAGAAAUGAUGAUAACUGGGAUUGUUCAGGUCCAUUCUGUGAUUGUUCUAGGGCAUUGCUGUGAGGCUGCCCUGUGUUCUGACACUGUGACCUUCUUUGAUAGAAAUGCAGGAAAAUUAUAUCUUCUUGAAAAGGUCAAGACCAAAACGAUUUCAUAGAAAUUAAUUUUCUUAGAGGGAAAAAUGAAUUGACAAUGUCAUGUGAAAAUUUUAUUGAAAAAUGUUUAUUCAAUUUAGGUAAUAGUAAAUGAUAAAGCAUCAGAAAUGUCUUCUUUAAUCUUUUAUUAAAAGUGUGAUUCAUAAGACUUCAAUGAAAAAAGAUACAAAAGGGCCAUAAGCAUCAUUCUUGUCUUCACCAUCCAGUUAUUUCUUUCUUGAAAAAACAGCAUUUCUUUAACAUAGUGUGAGAUAAUAAAGGGCUUCUGGAGAAUUUAGUCCCUAUGGCUGAGAUUCCUGAAAUUGCCAAAUAAGUCACUGACUGUCAUUUUGUGUGAAGGAGAUGAAGAAAAACCUGUUCUCAAUUACUGGGCAGCUGGUAUGUUUUAAUUGUUUGCUUUUUAUAAGCAGUAAAAUAAAAGGAGUAUUCCUUAAGUAUCCUUAUAUGUUAUUAAUGCAGUGCUUCUCACACGCAUUGUGCAUCAUGAUCCCCAGUGAACUUGUUAAAAAUGCAGAUUGGUUGCCUUUUGAGGUUUUGAUUUAGUAGGGAUAUGAUUUUUAACAAGCAUCCAAAUGAUUUUGGUGUAGGUGGUUUGAGGACCACACUUUUAAAAACCCUGCCCAGAGCCUACCCAUAAUUUAUGGGCUCAUUAUUUGAGCGUAUCUGAAAGUGACUGACAAUUUAUAAAAGCCAGUUUAGUGUAGAUAAAGCCUUAACAGUGAGCAACAGCUGCUUAUUCCAGUAGAGCCUUGUUGUUUGGCAUUUGGGGAAAAUGAGCAUUAUACAUAAGAUAAUUUCUUUAAAUUAAUACUUUAUUUUUUUAGAGCAGUUUUAGGUUUACAGGAAUUUGAGCAGGUAGUACAGAGAGUUCCCACAUAUUUCCUCUCACCUACGUCUCAGUUUCCCUGGGUACACUUGUUACUGUUGUACACUAAUACUUGUUAGUAUCAAACUGAUACUGAUACCUUAUUAUUAAAUGAAGUUCAGAGU